GGUGCAGCCGGCCCAGGUGCAGUGGUUACGGCCGCAGAGUGAAACCCGCGCUGACGGUCAGGCUGUGCUGGCUGGCAGGUCUCCCGGCAGGGUACGUCCGAGGACUAGACCAGGUCCCCACCAUUGGGCUGCAUCAGGGACACAGGGGGCGACCGGUCAGCGGCUGAAACCUGCGGCUCAGACCAGCGGUGCUGGGGGCGGGGUGGCUGAGCGGGGUGCACAGAGUGACGGUGGCCGGGAGCGGCUGGUGCACUGAGCGGGACCCCAGGCGUACAGGAAGAGGAAGCACCCGGCAGUGGAGGACAGGAGGGAAGAGUGUCUCCAGUGGAAGGAACAGCAUGUGUGAGGGCUCUGAGCCGGCACAGGGCGUGUCCUGUGAGGAACUGAGAGAUGGGCAGAGAGAAAGAGGCAGAACAGGGACUAUCACCUGUCCUGCAGGAGGUCUGCCGCAACCUGACCUGACCCGCACGGACAGCCGCAAGAACCAAGGAUUCCGGCACCAGGAUGCUGGCACAACCACCUUCCCCACCCGCUCCUUAGCAUAAAAGGAGCCUGGACUCUGACUCGGGGGAGAUGGCUCCCCAGGACAUCGGUCCCCCAUCGUCCCCGUCGGCUGGUUUUCCGAAUCAAGUCGCUACUCCUUCCCCAACACCUCGGCUCCCGAUUCGUUGGCCUGUCGUCCAAGGAGCAGGACAGAGCUUGUUCUGGGAAACACCACGAGCUCACAGUUCACUCCCGGGAAAACGCCCCACACAGACCCCACCGGCAGGUAAAGGGACUUCAGGCGCCCACUCAGCAGCGCAGUGGGUGACACAGAGCGACACAGGGUCCAGUGAGAGCGGCCAGAGGCACAGACAUGGUGAUGACACCCGCGCCAAGUUCAAGGUCAGGCAAGGCGCAGUGGGGCAGGGAGGGAAGCGCGGUAACCUGGGUGCUGGUGCGACACGGGCAGAAGCUGGCAGAGCUGGACUGUGAGGACCUGCGCCCCGUGCGUCACCCUCCAAGGAGGAGAGCUCGCCCCUCCACACCUCAAUGUCCUGCCCUCUGACGGCUCCCAGUGCCUCCUGGCGCCUCCAGUGCAGGGGCCGGGGGGACUUGGGGGCUGGCACGCAGCUGCAGGAGAGGAGGGGCGCUCAGGCAAGGGGUGCG